rnacentral:rRNA from 1 species
UACAUAGGGUGCAAGCGUUAAUCGGAAUUACUGGGCGUAAAGCGUGCGCAGGCGGCUUUGCAAGACAGAUGUGAAAUCCCCGGGCUUAACCUGGGAACUGCAUUUGUGACUGCAUGGCUGGAGUGCGGCAGAGGGGGAUGGAAUUCCGCGUGUAGCAGUGAAAUGCGUAGAGAUGCGGAGGAACACCGAUGGCGAAGGCAGCCCCCUGGGCCAACACUGACGCUCAGGCACGAAAGCGUGGGGAGCAAACAGG